CUGAGCACUUGGCCCUGAGAACUGAAUUCCAUAGAUGGUGGUCAGGAGGAGCUCAUCUAUGGGCUCAGUUCUUCUGGCAGAGUGUUCCAU
rnacentral:pre_miRNA from 1 species